GUGGGGAAUAUUGGACAAUGGGCGCAAGCCUGAUCCAGCAAUGCCGCGUGGGUGAAGAAGGCCUUCGGGUUUUAAAGCCCUUUUGUACGGGAAGAAAUCAUUAGGGUUAAUACCCUGGGUGGAUGACGGUACCGUAAGAAUAAGCACCGGCUAACUUCGUGCCAGCAGCCGCGGUAAUACGAAGGGUGCAAGCGUUAAUCGGAAUUACUGGGCGUAAAGCGUGCGUAGGUGGUUGUUCAAGUCUGUCGUGAAAGCCCUGGGCUCAACCUGGGAAUGGCGAUGGAAACUGGGCGACUAGAGUGCGGUAGAGGAUGGCGGAAUUCCCGGUGUAGCGGUGAAAUGCGUAGAGAUCGGGAGGAACAUCCGUGGCGAAGGCGGCCAUCUGGACCAGCACUGACACUGAGGCACGAAAGCGUGGGGAGCAAACAGGAUUAGAAACCCGUGUAGUCC
rnacentral:rRNA from 1 species